rnacentral:rRNA from 1 species
GGUUAAGCUAGUAAGAGCACACGGAGGAUGCCUAGGCGCCAGGAGCCGAUGAAGGACGUGGCGAACGACGAUAUAGCCUCGGGGAGCUGUAAGCAAGCAUCGAUCCGGGGAUGUCCGAAUGGGGAAACCCGGCUGUCGUAAUAGGCAGUCACUCGCACCUGAAUCUAUAGGGUGUGAAGAGGCAUACGAGGGGAACUGAAACAUCUAAGUACCCUCAGGAAGAGAAAACAAUAGUGAUUCCGUCAGUAGCGGCGAGCGAACGCGGAAGAGCCUAAACCGGAGAGCUUGCUCUCCGGGGUUGUGGGACGUCUCACAUGGAGUCAGAAAGGUGUUUAUUAGACGAAGAGUCCUGGAAAGACUCGCCGUAGAAGGUAAUAGCCCUGUACUCGAAAGUAAAUGCCCUCCGAGACGGAUCCCGAGUACCGCGGGACACGUGAAACCCCGUGGGAAUCCGGCAGGACCAUCUGCUAAGGCUAAAUACUCCCUGGCGACCGAUAGUGAAGCAGUACCGUGAGGGAAAGGUGAAAAGCACCCCGGAAGGGGAGUGAAAUAGAACCUGAAACCGUGUGCUUACAAGAAGUCAGAGCCCUAUGAUGAAACUUGUUUUCAUCAGGGUGAUGGCGUGCCUUUUGUAGAAUGAACCGGCGAGUUACGUUUACGUGCAAGGUUAAGGUGAAAAGCCGUAGCCGCAGCGAAAGCGAGUCUGAAUAGGGCGAAAGUAUAUGCUUACGAAGUAGCAAUACUUCGUAUUGCUUAUAGUACGUAGACGUAGACCCGAAACCGAGUGAUCUACCCCUGUCCAGGGUGAAGGUGCGGUAACACGCACUGGAGGCCCGAACCCACGAAUGUUGAAAAAUUCGGGGAUGAGGUGGGGGUAGCGGAGAAAUUCCAAUCGAACUCGGAGAUAGCUGGUUCUCCCCGAAAUAGCUUUAGGGCUAGCCUCGGAGGAAGAGUCGUGGAGGUAGAGCACUGAUUGGGUGCGGGGCCCGCCAAGGGUUACCAAGCUCAGUCAAACUCCGAAUGCCAUGGACUUAUUAUCCGGGAGUCAGACAAUGGGUGCUAAGGUCCGUUGUCAAGAGGGAAACAGCCCAGACCAUCAGCUAAGGCCCCUAAGUGUACGUUAAGUGGGAAAGGAUGUGGAGUUGCCCAGACAACCAGGAUGUUGGCUUAGAAGCAGCCACCAUUUAAAGAGUGCGUAAUAGCUCACUGGUCGAGUGACUCUGCGCCGAAAAUGUAACGGGGCUAAACGUACCGCCGAAGCUAUGGAUUGCAUCGACUUCACUGCUUCUUUGAAGAGUGAGUGAAGACCCGCCUGACAUUUUGUCGACAUCCGAAGUGAUACCACUUGUCGACCAAAUGACCUCAGGGGCUAAACGAAUACUUCGAAGCUGGAGUGAAGUCGAUGCAGUGGUAGGGGAGCGUUGUGUACCGGGUUGAAGGUAGACCGGAAGGACUGCUGGACUGUACACAAGUGAGAAUGCCGGUAUGAGUAACGAAAAGACAUGUGAGAAUCAUGUCCGCCGAAAGCCUAAGGGUUCCUGGGGAAGGCUCGUCCGCCCAGGGUAAGUCGGGACCUAAGGCGAGGCCGAAAGGCGUAGUCGAAGGACAACAGGUUGAAAUUCCUGUACCACCGCAGCCGUUAUGAGCGAUGGGGGGACGCAGAAGGAUAGGGACGCGAGCCGAUGGAUGUGCUCGUCCAAGCAGUGAGGCUGGUCAGUAGGCAAAUCCGCUGACCGUAAGGCUGGACUGUGAUGGGGAGGGAAAAUAACAGUACCGAAGGUCUUGAUUUCAUGCUGCCAAGAAAAGCCUCUAGCCAGGUGAAGGUGCCCGUACCGCAAACCGACACAGGUAGGCGAGAAGAGAAUUCUAAGGCGCGCGGAAGAACUCUCGUUAAGGAACUCGGCAAAAUGACCCCGUAACUUUGGGAGAAGGGGUGCCCCGGUAGGGUGAAUAGCCCGAGGGGGCCGCAGUGAAUAGGCCCGAGCGACUGUUUAGCAAAAACACAGGUCUGUGCGAAGCCGCAAGGCGAAGUAUACGGGCUGACGCCUGCCCGGUGCUGGAAGGUUAAGGGGAGUGGUUAGCCGUAAGGCGAAGCUAUGAACCGAAGCCCCAGUAAACGGCGGCCGUAACUAUAACGGUCCUAAGGUAGCGAAAUUCCUUGUCAGGUAAAUUCUGACCCGCACGAAUGGCGUAACGACUUGGGCGCUGUCUCAACGAGAGAUCCGGUGAAAUUUUAAUACCUGUGAAGAUGCAGGUUACCCGCGACAAGACGGAAAGACCCCAUGGAGCUUUACUGCAGCUUGAUAUUGAACUUUGGUACGGUCUGUACAGGAUAGGUGGGAGCCUGGGAAGCCGGAGCGCCAGCUUCGGUGGAGGCGCCGUUGGGAUACCACCCUGAUCGUAUCGGAGUUCUAACCUGGGACCGUGGAACCGGUUCGGGGACAGUGUCAGGCGGGCAGUUUGACUGGGGCGGUCGCCUCCUAAAGAGUAACGGAGGCGUCCCAAGGUUCCCUCAGAAUGGUUGGAAAUCAUUCGAAGAGUGCAAAGGCAGAAGGGAGCUUGACUGCGAGACCAACAAGUCGAGCAGGGACGAAAGUCGGGCUUAGUGAUCCGGUGGUACCGCAUGGAAGGGCCAUCGCUCAACGGAUAAAAGCUACCCUGGGGAUAACAGGCUUAUCUCCCCCAAGAGUCCACAUCGACGGGGAGGUUUGGCACCUCGAUGUCGGCUCAUCGCAUCCUGGGGCUGAAGUAGGUCCCAAGGGUUGGGCUGUUCGCCCAUUAAAGCGGUACGCGAGCUGGGUUCAGAACGUCGUGAGACAGUUCGGUCCCUAUCUGUCGCGGGCGUAGGAAAUUUGAGAGGAGCUGUCCUUAGUACGAGAGGACCGGGAUGGACGUACCGCUGGUGUACCAGUUGUCUCGCCAGAGGCAUAGCUGGGUAGCCAAGUGCGGAAGGGAUAAGCGCUGAAAGCAUCUAAGCGUGAAGCCCCCCUCAAGAUGAGAUUUCCCACAAUGGUAAGACCCCUUGAAGACGACGAGGUAGAUAGGUUGGAGGUGGAAGUGCAGCAAUGCAUGGAGCUGACCAAUACUAAUCGGUCGAGGGCUUAUCCUA